GAUGAACGCGGGCGGCGUGCCUAAUACAUGCAAGUCGAGCGAACAGAUAAGGAGCUUGCUCCUUUGACGUUAGCGGCGGACGGGUGAGUAACACGUGGAUAACCUACCUAUAAGACUGUGAUAACUUCGGGAAACCGGAGCUAAUACCGGAUAACAUAUUGAACCGCAUGGUUCAAUAGUGAAAGGCGGCUCUGCUGUCACUUAUAGAUGGAUCCGCGCCGUAUUAGCUAGUUGGUAAGGUAACGGCUUACCAAGGCAACGAUACGUAGCCGACCUGAGAGGGUGAGCGGCCACACUGGAACUGAGACACGGUCCAGACUCCUACGGGAGGCAGCAGUAGGGAAGCUUCCGCAAUGGGCGAAAGCCUGACGGAGCAACGCCGCGUGAGUGAUGAAGGUCUUCGGAUCGUAAAACUCUGUUAUCAGGGAAGAACAAAUGUGUAAGUAACUGUGCACAUCUUGACGGUACCUGAUCAGAAAGCCACGGCUAACUACGUGCCAGCCGCCGCCGUAA
rnacentral:rRNA from 1 species